rnacentral:tRNA from 1 species
GCGGGAAUAGCUCAGUUGGUAGAGCAUCAGCUUCCCAAGCUGGAGGUCGCGGGUUCGAACCCCGUUUCCCGCU